rnacentral:rRNA from 1 species
UGGGGAAUAUUGGACAAUGGGCGGAAGCCUGAUCCAGCAACGCCGCGUGAGGGAUGACGGCCUUCGGGUUGUAAACCUCUUUCAGCACAGACGAAGCGCAAGUGACGGUAUGUGCAGAAGAAGGACUGGCCAACUACGUGCCAGCAGCCGCGGUAAUACGUAGGGUCCGAGCGUUGUCCGGAAUCAUUGGGCGUAAAGGGCUCGUAGGCGGUUUGUCGCGUCGGGAGUGAAAACACCGGGCUUAACUCGGUGCUUGCUUUCGAUACGGGCAGACUAGAGGCAUUCAGGGGGAGGACGGAAUUCCUGGUGUAGCGGUGAAAUGCGCAGAUAUCAGGAGGAACACCGGUGGCGAAGGCGGUUCUCUGGGAAUGUCCUGACGCUGAGGAGCGAAAGUGUGGGGAGCGAACAGGAUUAGAUACCCUGGUAGUCCACACCGUAAACGUUGGGCGCUAGGUGUGGGAUCCAUUCCACGGGUUCCGUGCCGCAGCUAACGCAUUAAGCGCCCCGCCUGGGGAGUACGGCCGCAAGGCU